rnacentral:rRNA from 1 species
CCCUUAGAUGUCCUGGGCCGCACGCGCGCUACACUGACAUGUUCAACAAGUUUCUCCUAGUUCGACAGGACUGGGAAAUCUUUGAACGCAUGUCGUGAUAGGGAUAGAUCAUUGCAAUUAUUGAUCUUGAACGAGGAAUUCCUAGUAAACGCGAGUCAUCAGCUCGCAUUGAUUACGUCCCUGCCCUUUGUACACACCGUCCGUCGCACCUACCGAUUGAAUGUUUCGGUGAAGAUUCCGGAUAGGACUGAUUUGAUUUAUUUCAUUUCUGACCUAAAAGCUAUCUAAACCUCAACAUUUAGAGGAAGGUGAAGUCGUAACA